UUCUGUUCUCUUCUAGUCUUUUGGGUCAGCCUGCCCUCAUGCCUUGAGGAUGUAUUUUCCUUUGCUUGCCAAAUAAAACAGCUGUAACAUGGAGCUGUAACACUGGUCCGUCUGUCACUUCAAAUUUUUGCUGCAGCAAGACAGAACCAAGGAAAUUACUCAAUUCCCCAACAUAUAUGGUGCUGUUUCUAGGAUUUAUCCUGGCUUAAACAAUCUCGGCUCAGCCCCCACAAGGCAGAAGCCGAGCAUAGCAGAAGCCCAGCUCAGUGAAAGCUCCCACGGUGGAAGCUGAACAUGAAGAAAACCCAGCGCAGGGAAAGUGACAAGAAGCCCACCAUGCUGGAAACUGGGACAACAAAAACAACUCAGUGGAAAGUUCACGCAACUCAGUCUCAGAUUCCAGGAGGCCUCCGGUUAAGGUCAACAAGUUACAACAUGUAGUGCCAGUUCAACAAGGAUAUAUAAAACUACAGCCAACCAUGGAAAAUAUCACUCACCCUAAGAUGGACAGCACUAUAAGGACUAUGGGCUUGAGACUACCAAAAGGAGGAGGCCCAACGCCCCUUGCUGUCCAGUUCAGCAGGAAGUAGCCAGAGAGAUCUCAACACUCCUAUUCCCAAAGAAUUGGGCCUCCCAUCUGUUAAGUGGGGAAUGUCAGGUAGUUAGAACAGGAAAAAGGAGUCCAAAAUGGUGGUGGCUAAAAGACAAAAAAAGGGAAAAGUCCACAAAAACAGAACAAAAGGAAAUCCAAGGACAGGAGUGAGAACCUCGGGUGAAACAAACAGUCCUCCUGGCUAGCCCAAUUUACAUAGGGCAGACUCGGGGAGUGGGGAGACAAAUGUAUAAAAGGAGGAAGACAAGAGGAAUUGAGGCCUCUCCUUCGGGGUCAGCCUGCCCUCAUGCCUCAAGGGUGUACUAUUCUUUGCUUGCCAAACAAAACUCUGACUAGUAACUGAGCUGUUCCACUGGUCUGCCGUUUCAAAUCUUUGCUGCAGCGAGACAGAAUCAAGGAAAUUACACAUUCCCCUAACAAAUUGAAAUAAUAAAUACAAAAUGAACUAUGAAGAUAAAAGUUUGCUAAACUAUCAUUUUAUUAAUAGCAAAGGAAAAUACAGUUUUGUAGAUUCCACAGGUGGGCAAAAUUUCUCUAUAAAAUUUCCUAAAUAUAUUCUACUAAGAACUUUAUGAAAAGAUAAAAGUUAUCUUUUUGAAAAGAUA